UAGGGAAUCUUCGGCAAUGGACGAAAGUCUGACCGAGCAACGCCGCGUGAGUGAAGAAGGUUUUCGGAUCGUAAAACUCUGUUGUUAGAGAAGAACAAGGACGUUAGUAACUGAACGUCCCCUGACGGUAUCUAACCAGAAAGCCACGGCUAACUACGUGCCAGCAGCCGCGGUAAUACGUAGGUGGCAAGCGUUGUCCGGAUUUAUUGGGCGUAAAGCGAGCGCAGGCGGUUUCUUAAGUCUGAUGUGAAAGCCCCCGGCUCAACCGGGGAGGGUCAUUGGAAACUGAGAGACUUGAGUGCAGAAGAGGAGAGUGGAAUUCCAUGUGUAGCGGUGAAAUGCGUAGAUAUAUGGAGGAACACCAGUGGCGAAGGCGGCUCUCUGGUCUGUAACUGACGCUGAGGCUAGAAAGCGUGGGGAGCAAACAGG
rnacentral:rRNA from 1 species